rnacentral:tRNA from 1 species
GGGCCCGUGGUCUAGUGGUUCAAGUGGUUAGAAAUAACAACUUACACAAAUGACGUUGCCCUUACAAGGCGAAGGUCACCAGUUCGACUCUGGUCGGGCCCA